UUAAAUAGUCAAAUCUGUUAAGAGGAGGCUGGUAAACACUAGAGUAAUUGGUUGAGGAAAAUUCUGCAAAGCUUAUCUUGAAGUAGAGGAUCAAAUGUACAUUAUACUAUCUUGUAAACUCUUGUGUAAGAGCUUUUUUGUAACAUUCAUGAGUGAAAUUAAAUGCAAAGAUUUUGUUUUCAAUAUGUAUGAUUUCCUUUUGUACAGCUUUAAUUCAAAAAUAAAAACCUAUCAUGCAAAAAUUGCAUGCCUAGGUUUUUUUUUUUUUAAUUACUGAAUAAAACUUUGAGACGACAAUUUUACCGUGGCCAAAAUAGAUUUGCGACUACGUCAGCAGUAGCCACUUGCCGUCACUUAGUUGGCGACGGCCUAUGCAGUCGCUGUGUGCCGUCGCCAAUACGGUGGCUGACACGACCCACCCCAAAUUUCAUCCUGAAACCCAGAGUAAGUUGUGCGGGGACCACCUCCAAGGAAAAUUUACUGAAAAGAUUAAGCAAAUCUCCCUUGCGGAUGGACAACUCUAACUCGAAAAUUUCAUAUUACACUCUUAAUUCAACACUUCCGAACAUCACAUAAUCAUCCUUCAGAAAUUCUACACAUAAUAUAUAAUAAUCCCAAAGUAUUCAGAGCUACUAAACACAAGCGGAAGAAAGAAAACACGAGUAGGUUGAACAGGUAACCUACUGACGAAAACUGGCAGAAAUGCGGGUGACUAUGCCUCGUCUCCUACUAGAUCCAACCCGAACUCUGCAGACUGGGCAAUUUAAAACGAAGAGCUUAGGGGAAAACAUUUAAUAACGUUAGAGUGAGUGGACAAAAAUAAAAUAAUAAAUAAAAUAUUUAUGUUUCCCCAAAUUAAUUUCUAAGGAAAAAUCAAAUGCAUGCCGCAAGCGAUAAAACUUUUAUCCCAUAAAUGUGGUGCUACACUACGCCAUUAAGGUGGACAGACGGGUGUAUAAAUAUGUGCCCAUACCCCCUAUAUGAAUUAAACACUCAUAUAGGGCUACUACGCUCACGUCCAACGCUUACGUCACACCAUAAUGCGGCUAUAUGCUACGCCAUUAAGGUGGACUGACACAUAUGGCUAGCUAGCAUUUUCUAUACAUACUUUCUCAUAAAUACAUAUUUAUAUCCACCGAAAAUCCCAUUUUAGGUAUUUCUCCAAGAGAAAUAAAAAUCGUCAACAAUUAAAAUGACGUCAAAAUACUCCACGACAUUAAUUAUUCAACCAUGAACUAUAGCAUGUAUUUAUUUAAAAUAAACGUCCACUCACAAAUUUGGCCUAAGCCUGAUGUCGAUCUGGGGCCUCGUCUGCUCGAGCCUCCUCACGUCCUGUUCCAAAUAUAAUAUUAAUUUCCCAACCAAUUAAUCCAAUAUUUAAUCAAAAUAGGCAAAAUUACCCGAGAGCCAUUAAAAUACGACUCAUCAUUGCCUACUUCGAUAAUCUUAAUUGGAACAAUCCGAACUUAAAUAUCAUACUCAACAGUCGUAAAUACAACCUCUCCAAAAUACGACUUAAAUCCUACGGCCGGAUUCUACAUUAAUUAACCGCCAAAAAUACCAAACUUCGGAAAUUCACAAACCUAUCCAAAUCUCAUCCAAAAAUUCCAUAAAUCACAUCAAUAUACUCCUCUUAAUAUUCCACACUUAAAACCCUAAAAAUCUCCUAAUCGGCAGCGGCUCCGCUGGCAGCGGCGGCCGGAGGCCAAUUCCGGCGACCUCCAAAACCUAUGAAAUUUUGACAGAAUAAUCCUCUCAUCAAGCUCUACAACUUUCAUAACUAGCACAAACACCAAUUCCAAGCCUAACUAGGGCAAUCGACUAAAAACAUCCAUAAAUCCCUAAAACUUUCAAUUAUACAAACCACCCUAACGAAAUCGAAUUUAGCCGAAUCCUUUUGAGGGAUUACUGACCUAGAUGAGGGCUACAAGUUGAGCCAAAAAUCACGACCUAUGGUGGCCGGACAACGGAGCUCCGACGAAAAACCCUUUCCGGCAGUCGAACUUUUCGGGGUUGACCGCUCCUUCACGGCGGCGUUCCGCGCGGGUGCACCGGUCCAGGAUGAGAGAGGAAGAGGCAAGGGUCCGAACGGGACCAGUCUGGCGGUCGGUGGUGGCCGGACGGCGACGGACAGCGGUGGUGAAGUUUCCGGGCGGAGGGAGGAGAAAAUCAGGUGGGAGGAGAGAGAAUCGGGAGGAAAAGAGAGAAGUGAGGGGAGAGAAAUGUAUGGGCUUGGCCCAAACCGGUCCACACCAUUUAUAACCCAAUCUUCCAAAAUAAAAACACCCCGAAAAAUAAUACCCGAAUAAAAAUUACCUUUUACUAGCUAAAAUUUACCAUUUUUACCGUCGUCGUAUUUUCCUCAUACGAAUAAUCCUCCGCACAUAAUCGUCCCCGAAACCCCUCUAGGGACCAAUUAAACUAUUUACUCAAUGAUCGAGACGGUAAAAUUCUUAUUAUAAUCACGCUAGUAAAUAAGGUAAAAAUAUAAGGGUCGGGAUGUGACAGUGGCGACGGCUCAUUGCCGUAGCCAAAAGCAACGGCGACGCCCUCAACGGCGACGCCCUCAACGGCGACGACAAAAAUGUCGUCGCCGUUGGUCUUUCGCGACGGCAGAAUGGUUUUUGGCGACGGCAGUGCGCCGUGGCGAACCGAAUUAAUUUUUGUAGUGAGCCAUAACCACGCUCAUCAUUGCCUAACUUCGAUUCCUAAAUCGAAACGAUCCAAACUUUAAUACCAUAAACGGCAGCCGUAAUAACAACCUCCCCCAGAAUAAUGACUUAAAUCCUACGGCCGGAUUCCACAUUAAUUAAUCGCCAAAAAUACCAAACUUCGGAAAUUCACAAACCUAACCAAAACUCAUCCAAAAAUUCCAUAAUUCACAUCAAUAAACUCCCUUUAAUAAUCCACAUUUAAAACCAUAAAAAUCUCCCAAACAGCGGCGGCGGCCGGAGGCCGACUCCGGCGACCUCCAAUGCUUAUGAAAUUUUGACAGCAUCUUCCUCUCAACCCACUCUACAACUUUCCUAAUUAGCACAAACACCAAUUCCAAGCUUAACUAGGCCAAUCGAACGAAAACACCCAAAUAAGCCCUAAAACUUCCACUCACCGGUUCUCCUUACCUAGACCAAGAGAGGAUGAGCCCUUUGGAGGGAUUGAUGCACGGGAGGAGAGCUUCAAAACGAGCUAAGAAUCGCCGGCUAUGGCGACCGGAGGAGGGAGCUCCGGCGAGGAAACCACCACGGCAGCCAAGGCUUUCGGGGGAGAGAACUCCCUCAUGGUGGCGCUAGAGGGGCUGCCACCGAUCCAGGGAGGUAGCUGGGUUGAAGGUUGACCGAACAGGACCAGUGCGGCGGGCUGUGAUGGCCGGACGACGACGAGCGAACGGCGAGAAGAUCCGACAGCGGGAGAGCUUGGGAGAGAGGUCGAGAGGGAGAGAAGAAGAAGAGAGAAGAGAAAAAUAGGACUUGGGCCUCCACCAACCCGGUCGAACACCCUUAUACCAACCCAACUCUAAAAUAAAACACCCUGAAAAAUAAUACCCUAAUAGAAAUUACCUUUUACUAGCUAAAAUUUACCAUUUUUACCGUCGUCACAAUUUCCUCCUACGAAUAACUCUCCAUAAAUAAUCGUCCCUCAAAACCCCCUCUAGGGACCAUAAAAACUAUAAACUCAAUGACGAAAACGGUAAAAUUCUUAUUAAUAUCAAGAUAGUAAAUAAGGUAAAAAUUUAAGGAUCGAGAUGUGACAAAUUACUGAUACUUACUAUUAGUAUGUCUUUCACUAAUGUGAACGUUCUGUUUCUUUCAGGUUUGGUCAUUGGUAAGACGGUUUGAUCAACCCCAAAAGUACAAGCCAUUCGUGAGCAGGUGUGUUGUGCAGGGAAAUCUUAAGAUUGGGAGUCUCAGAGUAGUUGAUGUUAAGUCUGGGCUUCCUGCCACCACUAUUACUGAGAGGUUGGAACUUGUUGAUGACGACAAGCAUCUUCCUAGCAUUAAAAUAAUUGGUGGAGAUCACAGACUUAGGGUAUGGAUGCUCUUCCUUGUUUUGUUCUACCCAUUGCUUCCUUUUUCCUUCACUGUAUAUGAAGUUAAAAGAUCAUCUUCUCAAACUUUAAAAAAGAAGUUCCAUUGUUCACCGGAGUUAGAACUUUUAUUUAAAGAACGUGGAUUUCUGGUCUGAUAAACACUUUUACACGUCACGCAAUAAUGUGGGUGGUGCCCUUAGUUAGAAGAGUUAGAAGUCAAACUUGCUUUCUGGCUUGUUAAUCUACUGAUCUCAGCUUUCAAGUUCUCAUUGUCACUACUCUUUUUUCCCCAGAACUACUCUUCAAUCAUUUCCCUCCAUCCAGAAAUCGUUGAUGGAAGACCAGGGACUGUGGUGAUCGAAUCAUUUGUAGUUGAUGUGCCUGAGGGGAACACCAAGGAUGAAACCUGCUACUUUGUUGAAGCUGUGAUUCAAUGCAAUCUCAAAUCACUUUGUGAUGUCUCAGAGAGGCUUGCAGCGCAGGACCACACUGAACCAAUAGAUCGGCUCUGAAAUUGAAGCCGAGACAUAUAAUGGAGACGGGGCUGCCAUGGAUGAAGCUUCCGAGCUUUCAUAUAUCUCAGAGGUUUUGGAGACAGACAGGCAGUAGUAUGCUUCCAUUGCACAUGCAACAAACAUUCAUGUCUCAUUUGCUUGCUUUGUUUUCUGUGUUCAAGAUCAUAUUGUCAAAACUUCUGUCAAAGUUUAAGGACCAUAGUUGUCAUAAAGGACUCUGUAACUCUUCAUGAAUGAAAAAAUAGAGAAAAAAAGGUCCGUGUGUCUAUUCUCUUGUAUCCCUGGGUUUUGUUCCAACAAAUUUUUGGUUGUAUAUACGUACAUAUAUGCCAACUGCUAAGAGAAAAGUAUAGCAUGUAUGUAACUACCCAGGUAAUGUAGUUUUGUAUGUAGCUUCUUAUGUAGGAUGUAUAUAACUACCCAGGUAACUAUAAAUCUGUAGUUACAUGGAUAGUUACAUAGAAAGAUAGUUACAUGCAUAGUUACAUGUAUAGUUACAUGCAUAGUUACAUAGGAUAGUUACAUGCAUAGUUACAUGCAUAGUUACAUAAGAUAGUUACAUGGAUAGUUACAUAGAAUAGUUACAUGCAUAGUUACAUGAAUAGUUACAUAGAUGGAUAGUUACAUGGAUGGGUGGGGAACCGGUUGGGAAAAGCCCAACACUUUUCUUCUCUCUCUUCCCUCCCGACGUUCUCUCUCUCUCUCUCCCUGCCGGAUCUUCUUCGUCUCUGACUGACGCCGUCCAGCCAAGCCGGGCCGUCGCUCCAGUCCCGAUCGAACCGUCGCCGCCCCCUCUCCCUUCUUGGGCUGGUGACCGAGCGUGUAGCGCCACCGAUCGGGAGAAACUUCCCUCGAGAACCCGACUGCCCUUUUGCCGGAACUCCCUCCUCCGGGCGCCAUAGUCAGAGCCGCUUGGCUCGUUUGGAAGCUCUCCUUCCGUGCAUCAAUCCCUCGAAAGAAUUCACUCCCUCUUGGACUAGGUAAGGAGAAUCGUUGAGUUGAAUUUCUAGGGUUUUAUUGUGUGUUUUGGUUCGAUUGACCUAGUUAAACAUGAAAUUGGACUUUGUACUAGUUAGGAAAGUUGUAGAGCGGGUUGAGAGAAAGAUGGUAUUAAAAUUUGGUAGGCAUUGAAGGUCGCUGGAGUUGACCGCUGCCCGCGGAGCAGACGGCGGCGGCGCCGCUGUGAAGUGGUUUUUAGGGUUUUUAAUUUGUUGUAUUAAGGGGAGUCUAUUGAUGUAAAGUUUAGAAUUUUUGGAGGAGCUUUGGAUAGGUUUGGGAUUUUUCAAAGAAUGGUGAAUUUGACGGUUAAUGGGGUAGAAUCUGACCGUUAGAUUUCCCUUAUUAUUGUUUUAGAAUGUUGAAAUAAAUGAAAUGAGGUUGCGGGUGAAGUUUGGCAUAAAUCCGAUAAAUAUAAAUAUAUAUUUAUGAGGAGAGUAUGUAUAUAAAUGCUAGCUAGCCAUAUAUGUCUAUUCACCUUAAUAGCGUAGUAUAUAACCGCAUUAUGGUGUGUCGUGAGCGUUAGACACGAGCGUAGUAGCCCUAUAUGAGUGUUUAAUUCAUAUAGGGGGUAUGGGCACAUAUUUAUACACCCGUCCGUUCACCUUAUUGGCGUAGUGUAUCACUGCAUUAUGGCUUGACGUGAGCGUUAGACGCGAGCGUAGUAGCCUUAUAUAAAUUAUUUUAAAUCCAUAAAAUUUAUAUAGGGAGUAUAGAUGUGUGUGAAUACAUACAUAUAUUUUAUAGCUUGAGAGGCUCGAUAUUUUAUGAGUUGAAAGUUUUAUCGCUUGAGGCAUGCAUUCGCUUUUCUUUGGAAAUUUAAUUUGGGAAAACAUAAAUAUAUUUAUUGCUCGUUUCUUUUAAAUUUACUUUCGUUUUAACUUUGUUAUCUUCUUAGGUACUUCGUAGAGCAAGAUAAUGCAAAUAUGUGCUCAAGUGAUGCAAGCAAGGCUUCCAAUACGAAGUAGAGAUGUCAAGGAUGGAGUUUGAUCACUCACAUGGUCAAAAAUAUCAAGGAAAGGCGAUGGAACCACUUCACCAAAACAGAAGCUGCAAACACAAAAAGCUGAAAACUGGUUUCUGCUUAUUUUCUCCGGUUUUCAAGGCUUAUUUCCAUGCGGUUCCGAGAAUGGUUUCACCAAGAUCACUGCUCCGAUUUGUAGAGGAGCAUUUGUAGAUCAAUUUGGACUCAAGAAUCAUCCAAAUCGGUGAUGGCAUCUUGGAUUUAUGAAACGUCAAAGUUGGACAAAAAAUCAGCAGUUCCGGGAAAGCUUUGCAGCAGUCAAGUUCGAGGAAGUGUUUGGGCUGGAUUCUGAGAGGCUUUCUUGGGGGUUUGCGCACGAUUUUGAAGAGUAACAUCAUUAAUAUAAUUUGCCCAAAAGCCAAGCCCAGAUUAUAUGUGGAAGACAUUCAAAAGAUAGCCCAAACAUUGAUCCUAGUCAAAGAAUGAAACAUAGUCUGAAAAGGAAGCUUGGAAGACUUGGAGACUACUUAAGGCAAAACCCUAAUACCAUAACGUACUCUAAGUCGUCAUACUAGAAGAGAGCCUUCACAUUGUUGCAUUGCACAAGAAUCCAUCAAGGGGAAGUCUCCAAGAUCAUCGUCAUUCCUUCCGUUCACAGUUUUCUUCUUCCCUUUGUAAUCUGUAACUUUCGAAUUUAUUUUCUCUCUGUGAUUUCUACAACAAUGUGUGGCUAGUUUAUCUUAGUUAGGGGUGGAGAUUUGAAGCCCCGAAUUAUGCAAUAAACUUUGUUUUACAACCUUGAUUCGUAAUUGCUUAGUUAUGGAUUGUCUGUUUGGUUUUGAUUUAUAGGGAACUCUUGCUUGUUUAUGUUCAUGGAUGCAUACAUAGAACAUUAUAAACUUGUAAGUGGGGCUAGAAUUAGGUUGUUUAAUCUCCUAAACGGUUAAUACAGCCUAAUUCAAGGUAGUAAAACCUAUAGGACAAUAGGUGAAACUAAAUAGAAAGACCUGCAUGCUAGGUAGGCGUUCCACACUAGUUUUGCAAACUUGUUCAAUCACUUCCAUUGAUCUUAAUGCUUAGAAUAAUUUGUUGAUAGGAUAGCGUCCAUAUCUUGAUUGGUUAUUCUAAAGGCUUAGUAAUGGUGCGUUCAUCUUGGUUAAGUAGUCAAUUCUUACGCAAUGCGUUCACAGUUUAUUCUUGAUUGAACCUUUUCAUAACUUGGUAAUUGGAAUCUCGGUUGUGUGGCCUUUGUUUUGCAGCAUAUUCGGUGGUGAAUUUCCUAAAUCCCUAACCUCUUCUCUGUCUUAUUUCUCAAACUACAAAAACCAAUCUAGUUUUCUUAUUCUUUUGUCUUUUGUUUUUGGUGAUUUAUUUAAUAUAGUAAACGAACUUCAAAUCCCCAGAAAUUUUGUGUAUGUUCGUCUCUAUGUCUAGUUUAGGUCGAUAAAUUUUCAUAAUUUUCUGAGUAGUGUAGGUUGGGUAGUUAAGUAUAUUUUCAUCUGUUGUUCGUUAGGAACAGUACACUUUUGUGACAUUGUUUUUGUGUGUGAAAUUUAAUACCCUCAAUCUCUGGCAAUGAACAAUCCUUGCUUCUUUAUACUACAAUUGACAAUCUUUUGCAAGGUCAAAUUGUGAGGCUAUUUUAGCCUUAUCAAAAGUCCAAAAUAACAUCUUCUUGAAUAUUCCAACGGCUAGCAACCUCUUAACAUGAGAAUUACCGAUCUUCAAAUAAUUCUUUUUUAUUAUUCGCCGCUUCCUUACUUUUAUUUUUUUCUGUCUAAAUUUGGCCCGUUCUCAUUUUACAUCAAUAAAAGAUAUAUUUGUAAACUGAAAUUUGGUAAUGAAGCAGAAUAGACAAGUGGUGUUCCGGGUACAAAUAAUAAUUUCCCACUAGGUAAAACCUUGCUAAGAAUUCAAGUCCCAGCCCGAUUUUACAUUCGGGUAUUCAAUUAGAGUUGGAAGACUACUAGCUCGAUCAAGCUGCUCAACCGACACCUUUUUUUACCUCCGCCCCCAUAAGGUUGAGCCAGGAACCUCACCUCCUAGCAAAUAACUACUAAAACCCUCAUCGCCCUCAUCACAACAAUCUUGUUUGAUCGACCUGAUGGCUCUGAACAGGAAUCCGGCAAUGGCUGCCAUGCUGUUAGGGUUUUUGUUACUGAUGCAUGGCGCCACUUCAACAUUGGCCCUAUCCAGCGGGAGAGUCGGCAGAGGCUCCUCCUUGUCCUCCUCUGUCAAGACUCACCCCGAAUUUCACCCUGAAACCCGAAGUAAAUCCUGCGGGGACCACCUCCAAAGAAGAUAUUACCGAAAAUUCAGCAUAACCUCCCUUGAAAAUGGACAACCCUUCCUAAUAAUACCUGCAUACACUUCUAACAAAUCCUGCUACUUCUAGAGCCUUCAUGCUCCCCAAAUCACAACAUCUCCCAAUUUAUUCACUAAUCUAAAAAAUAACCCCACAUCAAACAAUUCAUUGGUUCAGAGCAACUCUAAAAAUAAUAAAGAAAAACAUAAUACAGAUAAGCGGAAGUUAUAUUAUGAACUAUGCCUCAACUCUAAGUACGCCCGACCUCGACUAAACUAACCUGAAACCUGGGCAUUUUUAAAAUGAAGGGCCCAGGGGAGAAGCAAUUUAAAAACGUUAGAGUGAGUGGACAAAAAUAACUUUAAAAGAAAUAAUACUUUAUGCUUUCCCGAAUUAACUUCUAUGGAAACUUUAACUGCAUGUCACGAGCUCAAAAGCUUUCAAAUUUACAGAAUUUACCAAAACGUGACUAGUCGCGCUAGUCACCAACACUUCAUAAAAAGAGAGCCUCUCAGUCUAAAAUAAAAUAUGUAUGUAUUAUACUCAUCAUAUCCCUUGUAUGAAUUUUCUUGAAACAACAAAGACAAAUAGAAAAUUCACACAAGACUACGACGCUUGCGUCUAACGUUCACGUCGCACCAUAAUGGCAUUUUACCUCAUUAUGGUGGAAAAGACGGUGUAUAUAUAUAUAUAUACGCGCAUAUCCCCUAUAUAAAUUCUUAUAUAUUUAUAUAGGGCUACGACGAUUGCGUCUAAUGCUCACGUCGCACCAUAAUGAAAUUUUACCUCAGUAUGAUGGAAAAGCACGUAUAUCUAGCUAGCAUUUAUUUAUAUACAUAUUAUUCUCAUAAAUAUCCAAAUAUGGAUAUAUAUAUAUAUAUAUAUAUACUCACCGAAAUUCUCAAUUUCGGUUAUUCUCUAACAACAUAAAUCAUUUCGCAUGCACAUUAUUUAAAACAAAGUCCACUCACCGUAUUAGGCCUAAGCCUUCCUUUGCUCGGAAUACUCCUCGAGCACUACCUCUAACUAUUCACACUCAAUGGCCAAUCCCACAUCUGACGAUAAACAGGAGAAUAAAUUGAUCAGAUCAGACUCCAAUAAUCAUUAACGAUUCGACUACUUCCUAGUUUGGCUAAGUUCCUGGGUUGACCAGGAUUGACCAACAAUUGACCAACAUAUUUUACUAAUCAUUUCCGACUAACUUCGCAACUAUACUCAUUCGGUUCCAUACCAAACCUUAACCUGGAAUUCAAAGUCACCAUCAAUUUUCAUGCCUUAACAUAUCAACCAAAAUACUUUCAAAAUUAAUUUACGAUCUCCUACGAUCAAACAUGCCCACAUACAAUACCAACAAUUUCCUUCACUUCCUCUCUACACAACUUCACCCCAAAAAUUUACUAAGGGCACCCAAAAAGGGUUUCCAUAAAUAGGAAGUUUCCAAAAAGGGAAAGUUUCCCAAAAUAGGAACUUUCCUCACUUAGAAAGAUUUCCGAUUACUAACCAACAAACUUUCCUAUUUAUGAAACAACACAAAACAAAAAGGAAAAACGUCAAUAACUACCUCAACGCUUCUGCCGGAUUAACUGUCUUCGCCGGAUUCUGACGACUUGUCGGAAUAUUCUGCCGGAUUCCGGCAAGUGGCCGGAAUUUCGCCAUAGCUUCCCCUUAAACUCCAAAUCACCAAGUUAUCGACAACAAUAACCAAAACAUUCAUAUUAGCAACCAUACUCCAAACAAUCCACAUAAAACAACACAACAACCACAUAGCAGCAACCUAGCUGCUCAAAUUUUUAGUCCUUACCUACAGUUCACUCAAACCCAAACCCAGAAAUUCCUCCUUGCCGGAGACUCCACCUCAGCCGGACUCCUCGCCUCUGCUUUGAACCCCGCUCAAUGUAGCUCCUCCAAAGCUCCACCAGAUGGCGUCUGAGGUCCAAACAAACAUUUCUACACUAGUCAAAACUCGACAGCCUUACCGGAGUCCCAAGAUUGGACUUGCCGAAAAAAGAACCAUGAAACCCAAAAAAAGGCAGAAAAGGGCUUUGCAGUUUAGAACUCGAUUCGAGAUGAAACAAACCCAGAAAAGAAGAGGAGAGGAAGGAGAAUAAGAAUAUGACCUUGGUCUGUCGAUUCGUCACCGGAACUCGCCGGAACUUGGGACGAACAGCCAUCGUCCUCCUCUUCCGAUCUCCAUCGAGAAUGGCUGCCUCUCGGAUUUGAGAGUUAAGCUAGGUCAGGAAGGAGGAGAGGAUCACUUGGUGGCAGUCUUGUCGUCAGGUGUGGCCGGAUGGCGCUGCUCCGGCGAGAGACGACGACCGACAGAGAGAGAGUCAGGGAGAGGAGAGAGAUUCGGUUGGGCUCGGUCAAACCCGACUUGGGUUUUUUUGACUGGGUCUGACUAGUCUUCCUCCAUUUAACAGCAGAAAUGGACAACAGGUGAUCGAUGAUUAAAGAUCAACGACCCAGAUUUUUUUAUAAAUCGUAGAAAAUAGCUCGAAGCUCCCAAAAAUAAUCCGAAGAUAUUGGAGAACUCGUGUCAUCACGCACUACUACCUCGGAUCCUUAAUAGAAGAAUUUAACAUUUUAAGAAAAACUCGACAAUAAAUUCGAGUGUUAAAUUACCAAAUUACCGAGCACGGUUAAAUUCCUCAGUAACUCGUAACAUACCCAGUAAAAAGGGUAAAAUUAGGUCCGGGAUGUUACAUCCUCCCCCGGCCACUCUUCAUCAUCCUCGUCAUCUUCUUCUUUUAGGUCUUCUACUUCUUCCUCGUCUUCUUCAAGAUAUCCCUACUACAUUAAUAACCACGGCAAUCGUUCGUCGUCGUCGUCCUUCUCAGCGGGCUUUAUAUGGGUUAUCAUCGGAGUGAUCACUGUAGCUAUCGUGUCUGUUAUAGUGGUAAUAGCCUGCUAUGGCAAAAAUAAGCGACAAAAAUGUUCGAGUUUUUCAACUAGUGUUCUCAAGCUCCAGGUAUUCAGAUUCCAUGUCAUAUCUCUAAUACUUUCUUUCCAUUUUUUUUAAACGAAAACUUUUCAAAUGGAGAAGCCCUUCGGAUAACCAAUGUUUAUACUGCUAACACAUAACAUGGCUUUCGAAGCCACAAUGAGAACCUUAAUUUCCCAAAGUAAAAUAGGGAUAAACUGAUUCAUGAGUGAUUAUCUUAUAAGCAAGAAAUUGUUUAUGUUGGAUAUAUUAGAACUUUUUUGUUUUGGUCAGUAGUACACUAGAUUAUGCUUAGAAGAAUGGUACUUAAUUAUGUAAUGUUUAAGAUGAUUGUUUAGGUUUGAUGAGGAAAAUUUACAGUGAAUAUAUAUAUAUAAUUAAAUUCAGUUUACCCCAUUGUGGUUUAGAGAUGAAUUCAUGUUAGUCCCUAAACUUUCAAUUUCAUCAGAUUACCCCCCGAGCUCUUGUUUUUCUGGUAAUUUAGCUUCUCAACCCCCAAAACGUUAUCAAACAUCAUCAAAUUUCAAUGUCCCAAUUGGACAGAGCAUGAGUAAUAGGAGACGGCAGACAGAAAAACAAGAGCUCGGGGGGUAAUCUAAUGAAAUUGAAAGUUUAGGGAUUAAGAUGAAUUCACCUCUAAACCACAGUGGGGUAAACUGAAUUUAAUUCAUAUAUACAUAUAUAUAUAUAUAUACAGAUUUUUCUCAGAUGCGGAUGUCCGUAUUUAUUCUUACGAUGCGGAUUUCCGCUUUACACUCAUUUUUCAAUCGAAUUUUCACAUCUCCACUGUCCAGUAUUUAUAUACUAAUGUAUAGAUCAUCUCUACAAAAUUUCAGCCAAUUUGGUUAUCAUUAAGGCACUUAAACUGUGUUUUUCUGUGGAUGAACAUAAUUCUGUCAAACUUGAACCGUUCAUGUUUAUAACAGAAAAACGCAGUUUUGAGUGUCUUAGUGAUAACCAAAUUAGCUGAAAUUUGGCAUAGAUGAUCUAUACAUUAGUAUCUAAAUACUAGACGGUAGAGAUGUGAAAAUUCGAUUGAAAAGUGUGUAAAGUGAAAAUCUGCACCGUAAGAAUAUAUAGCGCUUCUCAGGUGUGGACGUCCGCAUUUAUUCUUACGGUGCAGAUUUCCACUAUAUAUAUAUAUAUAUAGCGCUAUAUAUAUAUCAUAUAUUUUUUAUGAAAAGUUUACCAUUUAUUGUUUUUCUCUUAGGUUGGUUUACUGGGUUCAGCACCCACCCUCCAAACUGAUCUCAAUCGGAUUGCUGAAACCGCAGAUACUUCAACCUCUAAGGGUUGGAGCAAUGUUUUGGCAGGUAAAUACAAUAUUUAUUAGUUCCCCUCUUCUCUUCUCAUCAUGCAAAGAGGAUUAUUGAUUAGCUAGUGAUCUUGUAAAGCUUCUGUCUGGUUUAAACCACAUGGACAAAGAGUUUAUAGUCUCUUCUCAUUUGUUCUUGAUUUACUUUUCGUUAAACAUAGGUUACUAUAUGUUUAAUUUGUUGUUUGCUAGGAAAUCUAUUGGAUGGGGUUGUCUACCGAGAAAUUUACACAUUGAUUUCAUAUAUAUACUUAAGCGAAAAUUACAACAAUCACCGCAACUGACGUACGUAGUGGUUUUUGCCUAGUUAAGUGUGUUCUCUAACCUAGGCUCAAACUUUGAAGCUGUCAAAGGGACCAGAUACUGUGCCAAGUGAUUAACUUGUGGGUCCAAUUAGAAUAGCAAAUAUUUUGAACCAACUUUACUACAUUGGCAACAAAUUUAAUACAUUCGUAAUACACUAUUUACAUUAUUAUUAAUUUCAAAUUAAUGCCCGGUUCUUGAAUUUACUUUUACCUUUCCCUUUUUUUGGCAGGAGCAACAACAAGUUUUCUUCAGAAUCUUGAGUAUUGCAUCUCAGGUUAUUCAUCAGUAAGUCAGUAUAUCUUCUCAUGUGGAAAAUAUGAGUAAAUGCGUUGAUAUAUAUACAUGGAUCACAUUAGAAAUAAAACUAGAUUUAGAUAUAGAAAUGUCAAGGGACAUGAAUUAUGAUUUUCGCAUGCUUGUAGGUGGCUCUAAAUCAAACCAUUAGGGAAGCAGAGAUAAACUUCAAUCAAUUGUCCAUCACAGAAAGGGCCGUAUGUGAUAAAGAAACGCUUGUGAAUGUGAACAACAAAAAAGUGAAAGAUUCAACCAGCAAGGCAGCUACUGGAUCCCAGAGUGAAUAUAUAGCGGUAUGGCCGACAUAACCUGUGUCAUAUAUAUAUAAUGCAUUUUCUCCAUCUAGCGCCCAGGAUUUUGAUUUAGGUACAAGGUUUUCUUAUAGGUCAUUUUGGUUUAAACAGCUAGUAAUUGGAGAAUUUCAUAGAUAGCUUUUCAACUAGUGUUCAUUUCGUAUCCAGAGUUGGCCAGUUUCAGCCUCGUUUUGGAUAUUGGAGCGUAACAUUCAUAUUUAACCGACUUUACUUUGAUGAUCAGGUUACAAUACUGGUGGCGACUCGAGGAUUGUAUAAGCUGCCAACAGUUGAUGACAGUAGUACCUUGAAGCAAGGAUUGCAAAACCUCAAAUCCAUUCCCUCAAACAAUAUAUUGGUAUGGAAGAAUUGAUACUUUUAGUAGAUUCUAAGUUUCACCUCAAGAUACAACUGAUUUCUUGUUCUUGUUUCUGCAGUCGGUAGAAGUCUUGUGGACUCCUCAAGAAGAAGAUGACAAUCUCUCAGAACUGCAAUUACUCAAAAAGUACCCUCUUUUGAAGCCGUUUAAAGAUUAUCCAUUUGUUAAAAUUACGUUAGAGUGAGCUAAACAGUAUGAUUGAUCGAUGCGCGCACCUUCUUGGAAUAGUGUUCUAUCAAAUUAACCUACUGUGCUCUAAUCAGGGGGCGCACAAUUUCAUCUUGUAUUUCUCGUCAGAUGAUACCAUAUGCUCUUGGUAUGAGAUAGAGAUUUUAUCAGAAUGUAUGAUCGACAUUUUCAUUUUUAACGAUUGUAAUUUGUAAAGCAAUUAAGCAAGAGUAAUGGAAAGUUUUCAUUUCGAACACUUCUGUUUGUUUUACUUGUGAACAUACGAAGGAAGAGACAUUGGACCGGAAAUAUCCAUUACAUAGUAUAGAAAAAACUCAAAAAAGGAAAUUACAUUGUAUAGAGGAAAGCACAAGAAUGAAUCAUCAAGAGAUUGUAUUAUCUAAUUCAGCAAUACUAAAAGAAUUUGGGGAAAAAUGGUCAGUAUAUUACCUAAUUAAGGUAUGUGAUACAAUUUGGAUGGCUUGAGAUUAUCAGUGACAUUGAAGUAUUUCAACGUCCGAAUCCACUUCUCCUGAGUCUUCAACAAAUGAACUGCAAUCGUUUCCGGCCAAAGCUCAUGAGUACAUGUUGUAGGUGGCUCAGGAAAAUUGUACAUCCCCCACUUAGCGUUGAACCUAUUCUUAGCACGAUGCCCAUUUCUAAUCCACUCGCCAAAAACUUUAUCCUCGGGGCCUUCCAACUGAUUCUUGGGGAUAUCCGAGUCUCUGAUCCACUCAACUAUAUCCCAAGAUAUCAAGUACCCCAUUCCAGACAUGUAAUGCACAUAAGGGUCCAUGCUUGGGCAUGGAAUGACAUAGCCAUAGUACAAGUCUUCUCUAGGCAAAGGCUUCAAAGAGUCGACCAAGCUUUGAAGCCGAAAGUAAGCAUCAUCAUCGGCUUUCAUUACAUAAUGGUAAGGUGGAUACACCCCAUCUGUGUUGUUGAAAAUCUCCGGCAAGCUUGAAAAGUAUGUGUAAGUCUUGCCCUUGUUCAUAUUCUCCUGGCAAUUCAGUAUAAUAAUGUCAUUGUAACGCAUUAUUUCUAAUGCAACGAGUACCUUCUGGUCUUCCUUUGUGAGGUUGCAGAACACAAACUUCACGUCCACUUUAGCCCCCACCGGAUUCUGAGUGCCAUAGAUUAAACGCAGGAAGUGUCGGCGUUGGUAUUGAUCUGGAAGGGUUAGAAUGCCAAACAGUACACGAAUUUCAUCUUCAGAGGAAGUCUUCUGGGUUUCGAUCAAGGUGCUCGAUGAGGACUUGUAUAUCUCAGAAGGAGAGUUGAUUUUUGUAAGAGCACAGCGACCAAACUUCAGAAGACUAUCAAACCUUAAUUCGUUUAUAGAAGCCAAGGCACAGAGGAAACAAAUGAAGAAGAAAGAAGAAAUGAUGAACCGUCGCCGGUCUGACUUUGAAGUCUUCAUUGUGAUUUGGUUCUUGGAGCCUGGAAGAGAGAUGUUGUUGAGGAUUGUAAUGUAUGAAGUUUUCCAAUGCAAGAGUGAUACUAAUAAAUUACAAGCUUUCUUUGAGGGAAAGCAUCAGUUGUCAUUUUCGUGCAACUGAGACUAAUACUUGGACUUUCGUUGCUGCAAGGAUUAAAGAACGUGGUGUUAGGAUAAAGCUUAAGUUUAGGGAAUUGACCUCUCUAUCCAAGGAACAUGAGGUGCGUUAUGACAUUUUGAUACUCUAUUUAUUGUCGAAUUUAUUUUUUGAUGGAGUUAUUUAUAUGUUAAAUUCAGUUUUUACUUUGAAAAAUGUUUUCACAUUUAUUUGUGUAACUUAUAUUAACUUUAUUUUGUUUUGGUUUGUUGUAACUUGUAACUUAUAAUGUUAGGUCACAUAAAAAAAACUUAUAAUGUUAGGUUAUUAUCGUGUUAAUUAUGAGAAGUGUCCUACUAGCCUAUAUAUACCAUGAUGUGUUGCAUGAAAAGAUGCACAAUAACAACAUAUUCACCCAUCAAUGAAAUUCCUAAAUUAUCUUGUGUUUAUUAUUCGGUCAAAGAAAUGUGUUAUUUUAGUGGAGCUUUGAGUUCCUCCAAUUUAUACAGAUUGGUACAAGUCAUAUAGUUUGUUGGUGGACUGUUGUAUCCUGGAUGAAACAAGUUAAGAGAUUUCUGGUGUACCGAUAUUAUUGUGCAAAGGCUUAAAUAUUCUUGAAAAAAAAAGAGAGAUACGCGCCUAAAGUUUCUAAAAUUAUAGUUAUAAUGUUUAUUCUAAUUUCAGCAACACUUCAUUUUAGUAGUGAAGGAGAAUUUCGGAGUUUUUGGUCUUUUGGCAACUAGAGCUUUCUCCAAUACAGGGCUGGUAUCCAGGAAAUACAAAUAAUGGUUGGGAGGCACUAAGGGGAAUGGUGGAGUUGAGCCUAAAAUUAGCUCGAGUCACUUUAUAUGACUAUUUGCUUGAACAUGGCCAAAGUGAUUUAGUCAACUUUUCGUAAGUAGGUAUUUUUGCAUGUACACGGUAGUGAGUCGGCUUCAGAGGACCUUGAGAUAAACGUAGAGCUCACCAUACUUGAAUUUGAAGCAACACCGUCGACCCUGAUGCUUUGAAAUCAGACACCAGAAAAGUGAGAUAUGUAGUGAUCCAAGAACACGAUGGAGUAUUGCAUGUGGUACUAGAAUUGAAGAAAAACGAGUGUUAAAACAUUGAACAAUACCACACAUCAUUCAGUCUAUUUAAAUUUUUGGUACUUUUAACUAUAAAAAUACCAUAUUGUAAUGUUAAAAUAUUGUGAUCAUAAGUCAGAACCUGAUUAAUGAGUAGAGGAUCUGGAAUACGUAUUGCAGAAAUUUCAGAUUUGGCUAACCCCUACGCUGGUGAAUUUAGCUCGGAACAUGUUCCAGAUCAGCCAAUAUAAAACUAGAGAGGUGAAGAGAGAAGGGAGAUUAAUGAGUAGAACAAAAAUAUAUGCAUUAUUUGAAGCGUUGAGAAAUGAAAAUAGCAUUUAACCUAACAACCAGAGUCUCACGUUAGACUUCCCAAACAAUAUCAAUACUGAAAUUUAGUGCAUAGCUUUUGCCUUUCACUAAUUAAUAAGAUUUCAACAACUAUACUGAGAUUCUCCUACAACAUUAGUAAAGGUUAUGGGAAGGCAAGGCAAGGAUCUGGAAUUAAAGUUAUAUACAGUGUUUAGUUUCGCUCAACUCAAUAUGAUUAUGCUACUAUCACAUCUCCCCUUUCAUUAAAUACACAUCAUCUUCAAUUUUUCAUCGAGGAGUUGUAAUUCUACAACAAUCCAUCUCUAAUCUGAAAAUCUGGGCAUCUUCAACAGUUUUUACUUUUUAAAUUACGCUGGGGUGUGCCUUGAUUUUGACACAUAAACAGAGGAUGUACUUUGUUGGACAACAAAUGACAACAUAAAUUUACGAUGUACCUUUUGGCACAAGAAAUAUAUUUCUGUGUGGAAGUAGGAAAGACAUCAUAUAUGCCUCAGGCUGACCAGCUCGAUAUCAAAUACAAGCGUUCCUAAAGUUGAACCUUCUCCAUUAGCAAGACGAGUUGGAUUGAAGAUGGUUGUAAACAGUCUCUGCCUGUCAAAAAACUGAUAAAAAAAAAUUAUAAUUAAAAAAAAAAAAAAACCACAACGAAAAGAGAAACCCUGAGAUUUGAGUACCAAGGGCAGAAUCAUGAUGGAAAAAAAAAAAAAAAAAACUUUAAUAGCAAAAUACAACAUGCAAGACUUUGUUUAUUUUCUGUAAAUAUACAGACAAAGAUACACGUAUAGCAUGUGUGAUGUAAUAUGUAUCUCGCUAGCUCAUGAUGUUGAAUUAGCUCAUUAGUAAUUUCCAGGCAACCAUAUAUACUGUUCAAUACCACUAAUGCAAAGUUUACUCGAGGCAGAGACAAGUACCUCUCUCAUGCACUCCCUCACUUUCACACACAACCCUGGCAAGGCUGCCAAGUCAUGUACCAUCUAUUUCACUACUCAAGACACCACCUUUCAUAUCCUUAUAAUGUUCUAUUGUUCACUACAACUCCCGUCUAUCCUUCAAUUAAGUGGAUGAUUACUUUCUAAAGUCCCCUUUAAAACACAUUAUAGAAAGCAAACAAGAAAUAAGUAUUCUGACACUACUGGUAGCUUCUAUUUUGUUCAGACACAGGAUAUGGGCACACCUUUACGAGAGUAAAUUUACAAAGAUAGCAGGCAUUAUAAAAUCUGGAGGAACAAGAGAAAGUACAUUGGGUGGUAUGGGUUCUUGUGAUGUGCUCUGAUAUCCUUGCGACGGUGGUAUAACGAUCCUACGAAGACCACCCACUUUCAUAGAUUUCACAGCAGUUUCAAUCCCUGAAAUAACCUACAUAUACAUUCACAGCAUGAGUGUCAAGAGAUUACCAUACUAGAAAAUUUGAAGAGAACCUUAAGAAAAUAUCUAAAGGUAAAAGUGGGACGUGUCCAAUUGGUUACAUAAAAUCAUAAACUAUUCAGUAAUAUGUGUGCAAAGGAAAAUAGGUACUUGUACAGAAAGAAGACUUUGGGACAGAUAUACUAAAAAAACCAUGUGAUAACUUAUAAUUAGUUCUUUUCAGUCACUGAUGACAUUCAUACAAAUUUUGGGGCAAGGAUAAGAACUUUCUUCCUGCUGGAGGACAAUGCUGAGGAUACUACGUACUAUGACACCAAAAACAAAGUUCCAAAUUAAUCAUAGAUGGAUCAUGGAAGUAUGAACACAAGCAUUAGGAGAAAUUUGAACCACAAAACAGUCUUUUUAGAUGGAGACCUGAACAACUAAUAACACAAAAUUGAACUGGUCAUUUUGUCAAAAUGUAUUUCCUCUUAGCUCAUACUAACUCCAGCCACAAAUAGUACAUCAAUUAGUAGGUUUUCAAAUUAAAAUGAAUUUAAAGGGAAACUCUAGUAUCAAUGUUGAGUUGGUUAGCUUGAGCAAUAAAUGAAGAAGUUGUUAUUCUCAAACGAUACUUUGACACCCAUAUGCCAGAAGGUAACCAGCAAGUUUAGACUACUUUCAGGGAAUAAGGUCUUUUUCCACAGUUGUUGUUUCCCAUCAAAGCAUACCUUGCGUAAGUACGUUUUUAUUUGAGGAAUUACAAUAUUUAUAUUUUAAGUUUAAAGCACGGAAGAUUCAAGUAUAAAUGCAGAACUAUCAUACAAUAUAGAUUCCAUGAUGACUGAUGCCUCAUUGUUAACUGGGCAUGCUGCCUAUUAAUAAGAACUGGAAAAGAAGAGGAUUAUACGGAAAAUUCAAUACAUUACUAACUAAUGCUGCAUUGCGUAGAAUGAAGAUCAUGUACGUUAUGUAGACAUCUUGUUAAGAUCAGGAUGGAUCAAUGGAAUGUGAAAAAAACAACUACAUCUUUUGCUUUUUGCUUUGUAGAAUAAUGAUACAGUACAACGUUGCAAAAGGUCUAUGUAAACAGAUUGUUAAGAUCAGAAUGGAUCAAAGUAAUACAAAACAACACUAACGUCUUUAAUUUUCUCUGUAUAAUAAUAAUAUACAGCACAAAAUUGUGAAAGAUAGAACUAGUAGUGAUGUUGAAUAUUGUUUAGCAAACAAGAAGUAGACAAUGAUAAAGACUAGCAUAUCAUAAUAAUGGCUUAUUGACAUGAGGACUUACUUUCCCAGACCCAACCACGAAUACAAAAGGAGUCGGUUCACCAUUUUCAUCUUUGUGAUCAUAUGUUGAGUCAAAGCGCCAUCCUUGUUUUGCUGCCAACCUUCCAUAGUAAUGAACAGAGACCUACACAACCAAAUUACAAUGUAAGCCAGAUAUUAAAGUAUUGCAAACACUGCAAGAGUUUUCUGUAUCAAAUUUUCCUACAAGUUUGACAUUGAUAUGCACAUUAUGCAGUUCUAUUUGAAUUGAUUCACUUUCUCAAUUGUUACAAAACAUAAAAGUACAGGGUUUUACAAAUGAAACAUAACAGCACACAACAACAUAAGAUUCACCAAUCAGUUUUCUGUUGUUGGCUUCUAUAAAGCAACCAUUACCAUCCAAAUUUCACACAAGCAAGCAGUAGUAAUCAGUCAUUAUCAUUUGGUAAAAAGUAAGAAUCCCAGACGUAUAUGUAGCCACCUACCCAUCAACCCCUUAUCUCAAUCUUGACCAAAUGCCAUACCACUCGUGUUAUGUGAAGGAGAGAGAGUAAGAUAACCUGGUCGCCAUUGGAGGGUACUUCACCAGUACCAACACGAAGGUCCAAAGCCUUGACGCCACCAGAGUUAGGGAGUUUCAAGAAUUCAGCUGCGGCGGAGUUUGAAGGAGUAGACACGGUAAAGCCCAAUGUGGUGGAGAUUAAAGCAGUCGAUAAAACUACCCUUCUAGUUAAACUGGAUGGCGAUGAAGUUGCGGAGGUGAUGUUGGGAAGAACUGAACGCACUGUUGAAUGGUCGGGAGCAAAAGAGCAUCCUAAUGCUGCGGAGUAUUGGAGCAUCAUCUUCUUAGUUUUUUAAUCUAAAUGAAAAGAGGAAGAGCUGUGGCCUGUCAUGUGGGAUCAAUUUCUGUUCAUUUCAUUUUUGUUUUUUUUUAUUUUUCAUCUUUUUUUAAGAAAACAUUUCGUUUGUUGUUUGACUUGCUUCUCCUGUUAAAAGUUAAAACUCAAAUAAUAGGUAUGGAUGUAUUUUUUUUUUUUUUUUAAUGAAAACAACAACGUAAAGUGGUAGACUAUUUUUUCUUUUUUCAAUCAAAGAAACAUCAAGCCUUAUACUAAAUGAAUGUCAAAUAACAAUAUGAAUACGAUCUGCUCGUAAACGCCACAUAAGAAUGUAACCUAGACCAUUUCUAGGUUGAAUCCCAUAAAGUGAAGAGCAACAAGAAUGAGGAACCUAAACAUGUUAAGCAUGCCUAACUUAUUCAUGAAGCCAGAACCACCCUACAUAGAGGGGAUCUCCCCGGAACAGCAACCAAGAGAACCUCAAGAGACCAUAAGAUUUCAAAAAACUGGAUCACACUACCAAAAGAAAGGCUUUAGCCGACGAAAAUAAAAAAACCAGGCCGACAAAUUAUUUUUUCGUCGGCUAACGUGGACUUUAGCCGACGAAACUUUCUUUCGUCGGCUUUGGUCAACUUUAGACGACGAAAUUAAAAUUUCGUCGUUUGAAUUUCGUCGGCUAUAGUCUGUGAACUUUAGCCAACGAAAUUUUUAAAAGUUUAGCCGACGGAAAAUAUAAUUUCGUCGGCUAAAGUGCCUUAUAUUUACAGAUCUAGACAACAACUCAUCUGGGAAAAAGAAACUAUACGUAGAACCUUCAAAUGCAAAAAAGUCAUGAAAUAAGAUAUGACCAGAAUGGUGAAAUACGUCUACGGUUGAAAAAACACGGUAUUUCGGUAAAGUCUCGGUGCCGAUAGUUGCGGUCAAUGCAAUUUACUUUUAUUAUUCACUAUGCUGCAGAUUUGGCGUUUGGUGUCCGAUUGACUAUAAUGAUACCUUUCCAGAAGCGUAACGGCCCUACGAGUCAAACUCAUCACUUUGUUAUGACACAUGGGCCUUUUUGGCCAUCCGAGUCCGUUUAGGGCUUCAAAAUGCAGUUUUCUUAUUUCCGAUUAGAGUUGACCGUUUCGAUUGAGCCCUUAACGUUUUCGAAUCUAGUUGAAUUUUUUACCAUAGACAUAUUUCGUCAUAAUGAUCAUAUCUGACGGUCAAAUUUUGGUUUGUAAAUUUUAGUCAUCGAAAUCACAACGUGUCUACUAUUUACCAUUAUUAUUCCCUAUAGGGAGCCCUAUCGUCAGAAGGUAAAUGUCUCAAAAUUUUUAUAUGGGCAGUUGCGUCUCAUCUACGUGAGAGUUUUUCGUGUGGAAGGUUUGACCAAACUACGUAAUAUAGAGGGAGAUAUGAGCGUUUUCGUGUGAUAAGUGACGAUGGAUUAGGGUUGACCAUUUCGAUCGAGCCCUUAACGUUGUCGGAUCCAAUUGAAUUUUUUAUCAUAGACAUCUUUCGUCAUAAUGAUCAUAUCUGACGGUCAAAUUUUGGUUUGUGAAUUUUAUUCAUCGGAAUCAUAACGUGUCUACUAAUGUUGUAUAACUUGUUUAGUAGGUUAUACAAUUUUGUGAACCAACUCUACAUAGGAAGCAAAAUUAUCAAAAAUCUCGUGAAAUAAGAUGUGUUCAUAUUGGUGAAAUACGGCUAUGGUUCAAAAAUCACCUAAAUUGGGUAACGUCUCGGUGCCGAUAGUAGCGGUCAACCCUAUUUAUAGUUAUUAUUCACUAUGGGAAGCCCUAUCGUCGGAAGGUAAAUGUCUCAAAAUUUUUAUAUAAGCGGUUGCGUCUCAUCUACGUGAAAGUUUUUCGUGUGGAAGGUUUGACCAAACUACGUAAUAUAGAGGGAGAUAUGAGCGUUUUCGUGAAUUUAUAGACUUUAGCCGACGAGAUAUUAAAAAAGUUGUCAGCUAAGGUCAAAAUUUUUUUGGCGGUAAACCAAAUUUGGAGGAAAAUUUUCAAAAGACUUUAGCCAACGAAAAUAUAUGAAAAGUCGUCGGCUAAAGUCGAAAAAUUUUCAACCAAAAUUUUCAAAAGAGUUUAGCUAACGAAAAUAAAGAAUUUUGUCGGGUAAAGUUCUUUAUAUAGGAGUUUUACCGGAGGUGGAUGGUAAGAAGUCAGAAAAUCAGAAAAAUGCCGGAUUUUCUUCUCGACCUAGCUCCGCCGUCAAGCCACCGGAGACCGCCACACUUGUCCCAAAAGCUUCGCCGUCGUGUUUACUUCAUUGCUAGACAGGUGGUGCAUCGAGUGGCGCCGCCGUGAGGGAUAAAUGGAGCUCCAAAACUCCGCCGGUUCGGAUUCGGUGUCGAUCGAAUUUCUCCUUCCUCAAGUCACUAUUUGGUGAGUUCUAUAUAUGGAUAAGUUGAGUUUGAUUAGUACUACAUUCCUCUAGAAUUUGAUAGCUGGAUUCGGUGUGUGUGAGGAGAAUCGAAGAUUUGAAGUUUUUAGGGUUUAAAAUUAGAGAUUUUUAUAUUUUGAUUCAAUUGACCCGUUUAGGCUUAGAAUUGGGCUUUGACUUCUUCUAGAAAGUUGUUCGAAAUGUUGAGAGGAAGAUUCUAUCAAAUUUUGGUGGUGAUUGGAGGAGGCCGAAAGUUUCUGCAGUUUUUUUUUUUUUCAAAAACCAGCAACUUUAGCCGACGAUAUUUAAAUACUAUAUUCGUCGGCUAUAGUAUUUUUAAUUUUUUUUAUAAGGUUUAGCCGACGAAUUAUGGCAUGUUUCGUCGGCUAUAGUUAUUUUUUAAAAUUUUUUUAUAAGGUUUAGUCGACGAAACAGACUAUAUUUCGUCGGCUAUAGUAAUUUUUUUAAUUUUUUUAUAAGGUUUAGCCGACGAAUAUCUUAAUUGUUUUAUCGGCUAAAGUCUGUGAAAAAAACCGACGACAUGUUUUUCGUCGGCUAAACUGUGGGACUAUAGCCGACGACAUCUUUUUUUUUCGUCGGCUAAAGUUGUCAGGACCCACCCCGAAUUUCACCCUGAAACCCGAAGUAAAUCCUGCGGGGACCACCUCCAAGGAAAGUUUACCGAAAAUUCGGCAUAACCUCCCUUGAAAAUGGACAACCCUUCCUAAUAAUACCUGCAAACACUUCUGAAAAAUCCAAAUCCAUCCUUUAACUCCUGGAGCCUUCGUGCUCCCCAAAACAUAACAUCUCCCAAUUAUUUACUAAUUUUAAUAAGAAAACUAACAACCAACAGUCACUAGUUCAGAGCAACUCUAAUAUAGGAGAAAAGGACUAUAAUUAUAAAUGUGAACGGGAGCUAUACUAUCGACUAUGUCUCACCUCCAUGUACGCCCGAACUCAACUAUGCAAACCUGACAACUGGGCAUUUUAAAACGAAGGGCCCAGGGGAAAACAUUUAAAACACGUUAGAGUGAGUGGACAAAAUAAUUUAAUAAGAAUAUUUAUGCAUUCCCAUUUUAAUUUCCAAAGAAAAUAUACUGCAUGCGGCAGCUCAAAAGCGCUCAACACAAAAAUUGGCAAUUUCAUGAUUAGCUCCGGCCAGUCUCUAAAGCUUAAAAAAAUACAGCCUCUCAGGCUAAAAUAAAAUAUGUAUGUAUUACACUCAUCAUAUCCCUUGUAUGAAUUUUCUUGAAACAACAAAGACAAAUAGAAAAUUCACACAAGGCUACGACGCUUGCGUCUAACGCUCACGUCGCACCAUAAUGACAUUUUACCUCAUUAUGGUGGAAAAGACGGUGUAUAAAUAUACGCGCAUAUCCCCUAUAUAAAUUAUUAUAUUUAUAUAGGGCUACGACGAUUGCGUCUAACGCUCAUGUCGCACCAUAAUGGAAUUUUACCUCAGUAUGGUGGAAAAGCACGUAUAGCUAGCUAGCAUUCUCUCAUAUACAUAUUAUUCUCAUAAUCAUCCACAUAUGGAUAUAUAUAUAUAUACUCACCGAAAUUCUCAAUUUCGGUUAUUCUCCAACAACAUAAAUUAUUUCGCAUGCACAUUAUUUAAAACAAAAGUCCACUCACAGUAUUAGGCUUAAGCCUUCCAAUGCUCGGAAUACUCCUCGAGCGCUGCCUCCAACUAAUCACACUCUCUAGCCAAAUCCCACGUCUGACGAUAAACAGAAGAAUAAAUUUGUCAGACCGGACUCCAAAAUAAUCAUUGAUUGGACUUCGUCCGAAUUCGACUAGGUUUCCCUAGGUUGACCAGGAUUGACCAAAUGAUUAAAUAUUAUUUUUAACCAAUUUCACAUCCAGAACUCAUUUUGCUCAAGUGCCGUAACCUCAACUUGGAAAUCAAGUUCUCAUUGAAUUUCCAAGCCUAUAGCAUGACAACCCAUCUAAUUCACCAUUCUGCCAAGUAAUAAAAUAAACGCAAAAUCACUAUGGACACCCAUAGUAUAAUUUAGCUCAUUUUAAAAUCAAACUAGAGUCUACCUCAUUCUCUACUUAAUGCUUUUAAACAAGCUGCAAUUACCAACGAUUUCACUCUUUCCCUACUAUCCAACUUCACAUUAUGCCUAGACUUUCAAAACCACAAUUUUAAACUCCAACAUCAAUUCCUCUUAAGGCAUCAAUAUCAUUUAUCAGACUCAAAACUACCUUAACAACUCUCAGCCGGAUAUGAUGCCUCGUCAGAACCCCUUGCUGGAUUCCGGCCACUUGCCGGAAUUUCGCCAUGACCUCCCCGCCUUCUUCAAAAACACCAAGUUCUCGACAACAAGCAACAAAACCCAAUAUUAAACACCAAUCCACCAUAUCACAAAAAUACAGAACAUUUCAAUCACCCAACCGAGCAAAAACUUAAGAGAUUUCUCACCUUGCUAGCACCUUUGCCGGACUGAGUUCAUUGUCAGCCAAUACAGCUACUGCAAACCGUGGCUUUCAACAACACACAAGCUCACCAACGCCUCCAACACCACGGCAGCAACACCCUAAGCUUCUGCUCCGCUCCCAAAUCACGCUUGCUGCUCUUAAAUCCCUACAAGGCGCAACUAAGCUCUACUCAACUGCUCCUAGACUCACCGGAGCUCAGAAGUCUCGCCGGAGCUCCAAGAACAACCCACCAGAAAAACUCGACGAAAACCUAGGAACACCAAAGAGGGCUCUCCGAAUUCGAACUCAAUUUGAAGAGUGAAAAGCAUAGAAAGAAAGAAGAAAGAAAGAGGAGAAGAACCCUACCGAUCAUUGUCGUUGUCGCUGCCGGAGCUCGCCGGAAACGGCGAACACAGCCGUGCUCCUCUUCGUUGAUAUGCUCUAAGAUUGGAGUUUCAAGUGAGUUUAAAGGGUCGGCUAGGAAGAGAAGGAGAAGAGGAUCACUUUGGUGGCAGUCCCGUCGCCAGGGUGGCCGGACGGCCAAGUUUCCGGUCGGAGAAGCUGUGGCUGCGGUGAGAGAGAGAGGAAGGAGAGAGACUCGGGUCAAAGCCGAGAUGGGUCUUUGACCGAAAGUCAGCCUUUCAAUUCUCCUUACGCUUUAAUCGACGGCGAUGAUAAAAAAAAAAAGAAACCCUAGUUGAUCAAAUAGCCCAGAUUGAAUUUCAGGAAACAAUCUUUUUAUCAAACUUCGAUAAAACGUAGAAAUAGCUCGAAGCUCCAAAAAAUAAAUCCGAGGACAUUGGUGAAUUUGUAUCGUCGCGUGCUACGACACCAGGGCUGUAAAAGAAGAGUUUAACAUUUUGAGAAAAACUCGAAAAUAAACUCGAGUUUUAAAUUACCGAGCAUGGUUAAAUUCCUCAAUAACUCGUAGAAUACCCAGUAAAUAGGUAAAAUUUGGUCCGGGGUGUUACAAAAGUCAUCACCGACGACCUUUUCCCGACGAAAUCUUAGCCGACGAGCCGACGAAUUAAGCUAACAGGCCGACGAAACUUUUUCGUCGGCUAAAGUGCUUGUCCUGGUAGUGUCAGCCCAAAGUGACCAAUAAUCAACACCUAACCAAAGCCCAACACAACCUUUGCACCCCUAGCUUCAAACAAGGCCCAAAGCCCAAACAUGACAAAAGAAACCCUAAGCUUAUACUGCCAACCAUCAUCGACACACCACCAUCACCAGCGGCGGAGCUGACUAUAACCUUAAGGCCUUUAUCACCAAUAAAAAACUCAGUCGGAGAAACACCCACAGCGGCGAGUCCAUAAGCCCAUCAUCAAUGCGUCUCUGAUUCUUUUCAACUGGCACAGCCACCACUCUAAUCCAACCAUUGACGUCUUUGUCUUCUGACGUCAACGGAGAACUCACGAGGCCUCCAAACCACCUUUGCAGUUUCAAACCCGAGCCAAGACCCCAAAUCUCAGCCACCAUUGUUGCAAGUUGAGAAUCAUUCAAGCCCAAAUAACAAUCAUCUUCUUCGCCUCUACUAAAGAAUGAGAAGAAGAGACAGGGAGAGCCGUGACAAUCCCGAUGCCUGACGCUAGCCGGGGCUACCUGACAUCACAAAGUUGUUGCCGCCACCAUCCCAACACCCACCAGUGCCAUAAAAAAGGAUGAGAGAUAGGGUAUGGGCGAGAGAGAGAGAGGAGACAAGCCAAUAAAAAAGUCUUGAAUAUCGACUCUUCAGUUUUUGAGGCAAGUGUUGUAGACAGUUAUUUCACAAAAAUAUAGAGAAAUUUUUUCUUUCUUUUACACAUGAGUCCUUAAAUUGUAGAUUGUUGGGUCAAAUACUAUAUAGUUCUUUUGGUUUGAAGUCGACAUUUGUUUAGUGUUUGUGAUUUAAUUUUAAUCUGAAUAGUUCUUAAAGUCACGAUUUUCCUUCUAAAUAGUCAUUCGGUCAAUUUUUUCAGUUAGAAAAAUUGUCAUGAUCGUAAGAAACCAGAGUAGGGCUGAGAGAGAGAGAGUGUCAAGACCCACCCUAAAUUUUACCCUAAAACCUAGAGUAAUGUCACAACCCAACCCGAGUUAUGACUAGAUAAUGUGGUGGAAAGAUAAAUUAGGAAUCAGUCCAAGGUGUUUUUUUUUUUUUUUAAUUGGAAUAUGGAGCAAGAAUGAAACAGAACUACUCUGGGUUCUGAAAUUACAGGUCUGGAAAUUGAGUGUUUAACUUCUCAAAGAAACUAAUCCAAGAGUGAUAUAUAAUCCGACUACAAGAGUUCCUACAAUAGAUAUGAGCCUUAAGUGUAAAAGGAUGAAUAAGUCGACAAGUUCUUAUAUAAGAGAAGUUUGUAGUCUGCAUAAUAAGAGGAACCAAGCUAAAGAUAGUAUUCAUAUACACUUGACACAUUCGUGUGACUGUGAUCAUUGUUCAAAUAGAAAGGUAUUUAAUUAGACAUUGAAGGGCAAAGGAAUUAACAUAGUUUCAUAUCAUAAUUCACAAGGGGCAAAUUGAUUACAAAGUUUCCACCACAUAUGAUACUAGAUACACCCAGGUUAGUACAUCAGUCGUGCACAUUUUAUGUACAAUACAGAGCUACUAAAACAACAAGAUAGGAGCUCUGAAAUGAUGAACACUUUUCAACAGCAUAUACACAUCUAACAAGCAAAAUAAUGUCCAUCAAAUUCUCCAAAAAAGCAAAACUAAGCUCCACACAUAAUCAACUCAAGAUAGUUCCAGAAUAUCACUAGUUUGUCCGUUCAUGGACUCAUUUCCUGAAAACCACAACAAAAAUACAAGGAAUGAGCUUCAAGCUCAGUAGGUACAGCAAACAGUCAUCAUAGCAAGGAUUCUAAAUCAGUAUGCAUCAGAAAAGUGAUGGAAGUGAAGUAGAAUUUACUGAGUUAACCAAAUUAAUUUUCAGCAGAUGAGAACAAUGACAAUAGCAGCUCAUACUUUUACAAUAGUAGACUCAGAGUAGGAUCAAAUCAUAGCUGAAUAGGAAGUAUAAACAUAAAAGAACCGAGGGCCAAAAUAUAUCAAACUGGUAAUAAACAUCUCAAUAAACUGGAAAGGGAGCAGUCCUGGUAAAACAAAUGAAAUCAGAACAAGACCAUAAAUAAAUUUCAGCUUCAGAUUUUAUAACAAAACCAGAAAUCACUCCUUUCACUCACUGCAACACAUCUGCAGUAUUUGCCAAUAACAAUUCAUUAACUCAAAUGUUAGCAAAUCCUUAAAAAUACCGGUUAGAGCCCACCGCCCAGCUAUACCACCGAGCAAACCCCGCACAUGCGGUACCCUGAUCAGGUUUAGGGUUAAAUAACCCAAGGGAGACACAAUCCCUACUCACACAAUUCACCGGGCCUAACCGAAUAAAAAAAAUAAACCAAAUCUGAUUUUUCAUGAAACACUUGUUUUUCCAAAUCAAAUCAAUCCUUCAAGGAUUUCCAAAGGAACUGAAAUGCCCUUUAAUAAUAGAGUGAAGUAUGUCAAGAAAUAGUACUUAAAGUUGAGCAACUUGCUGAGGAAGUAGAGCAUUAGAAACUUAGAAAACUUGUAAAUUAUAUCAAUAGAGAUACAUGAGCUUGGAAUUUCAAACAAUGCCGAAUGAGUUUCAAAUACAGAUGUGUUAAAAAGAAUAAUAUAAUAAACUCAGCUUUUGGCUUAUAAUAACACAGAGCAUAGCAGAGAUAAAACAAUAGCAACAUUGUACUCGAGGAAGCUUUGUUGUGAAUAGAAGUUGGUACUUAGAAAGAAUAACAAGAAAAGGGGCAAAGUCUUUGUAGUAAUCAAAUUAGAGAUAAUGAUUUCAUUGAGGGAAGAGUUUAUUUGUUGUUCAGUAAGGUUGGUCAUCAAGAAUACUUGAUUUACUUUGAGAACUAAAAUAAAGAAUGGGGAUCCUUUAACACUAGAGAAAAUGAGACAAGGAUAGUGAAGGAUCAAACUCUAGGUAUCAAAUAAAAGAUGGCCUCAGGGCUCAGGAUAUUCAAAACUGAUUAUAAGGGAAAAGAGUUUUAACUUUCUCUUGAACAAAUUACAAUAUUAGAAAGAACUUGAUACAAGACAAAUUCUUGUACAAGAGAAAGGAAAGAUGGAUACACGGUUAUAAGGAUGUUGACAAAAGAGAGGUCAAGAAACUAGUUUACAAUUACUAAUUGAAUAUAGAUUGUAUCAACUUGAAUUGAUAGUUCACUGGUCGUGAUUCAUCUAACUGAAAAGAUACUAGGAUCACUAUCAUCUUGUAUAUAUAUAAAAGGACGGUUCCAAAAUCAAAACUGAAGAGCCAAGACCAAUCAGCUCGAACAAUAAUGAAUUCCCCUCAAGCUUGACAACUUACUGAUGAACCAAUAAAUACCCAGUUUUUUAAACGAGGCACAACACUCAGAGUAGAACAUCUUUUUCAGUCAAGCUUUAAUCAAACUCAAGCUUGAACAAUCAAUACAGUUCAACAGACAAGAAGAUUACACAGAACAAUAACGAAAGUAGAACAACCAUUCUUUCCAAACACACACCAAGAUAGAAUCAAAGCUAUAAAGAAAGGUCGCUUUCCCUACCUCAAUUUCCUACGAAUCAACUGCCAAACCAGCAAGAGAAAUCAAACAAAACAACCGCACAUAAGUACCCAAUCCACCAUAACGAUCUAGCCACCUAAAAAUGGAAUUUGGAUGCGAAUCAGACUCCCUUCUAUUUGGAAAUAGAUUAAUUGAAAACAAGUAAUGUUAUAGAAGAUUAGAAACAAGAGACUUACAGGAACUAAAUUCAGUUUAGAUGAGGAAACUGAACUCAGUAGAAUUUGCACAGUAUUUCAAAAGCCAAGCACAGCGGAAUUUGAGCAAGUGAAUGAAAUCGGGAACAAAGUAGAAGGAGAAAAGGGAAGAAUCAGGAGAGAGAGUUCGUGUAUGGCCAAGAUGUUAUCGUACCAGGAAUGAUUGAAUCAACGACCAGAAACCAACAACGUGUAUAAUUCUAGAAAGUGGCUGGACCCAUCCACACCCCAAAUCAGAUAUUUUCUCUAAAUUAAAUAACUAAAUAGUUAUAAACACAUGUAGUUCAGUUUGCACUCUAACGUGUAAUCCCUAACAAGCACAAAAUCACAUCUCACUUAGAGCACAGCAAACACACACAUAUGUACGAAAUAAAUAAUCUGAUAAAUAAUAAUCAAAAACUAUUUAAAAAAGAAUUUAAAUCGUCACAAGUAAGUCUUACGGGAACCACCUUCAAGGAAAAUUUACCGAAAAAUUCGGCAUAACAUCCCUUGAAAAUGGACAACCUUAUCCUGAAAAAAUUCAGAUAACACUCUUAUACCAAUACAUCCAACCUUAACACCUGGAGCCACCCGCUCCCCCACAACACAUCCAUCACACACAAAAAAUAAUAUCAUCUUCUAAUCCAACACAUAAAUAUCCAAUUUAUAUCAUACACCAUCCUUUGGAUAUCUCCCAAAUUAAUAAACAAAGACUUAGCACACAACCGAACUAUUAUACAAAUAAUCUCAAGGUAAUCAGAGCUACUAAACACUAGCGGAAGCAAAAAAAUAUGGUAGUAGGUUAACAUGUAACCUACUGAUGAAAGGUGGAAGAGAUGUGGGUAACUAUGCCUCCCCUCUAACUAGUGCCAACCGGAACUCUGCAAACUGGGCAUAUUAAAACGAAGGGCCCAAGGGAAAACAUUUGAAACCGUUAGAGUGAAUGGACAAAAAAUAAAUUAAUAAGUAAAAUAUUUAUGCAUUCCCAUUUUAAUUUCCAAAGAAAUUAUGCUGCAUGCGAAAAAUUCAAAAGCGCUCAACUCAUACCCUGGUAAUUUUAUGACUAGCUCUGGCUCGUCUCCAAACUCAAUAAACUGGAGCCUCUCAGGCUAAAGUACAUAUAAACAUAUAUGUGUAUGUAUUUACACUCGUCAGACUCCUUGUAUGAAUUCUAUGAACAAAUUAGAAAAGUAGAAAUUCAUACAAGGCUACGACGCUUGCGUCUAACGCUCACGUCGCGCUAUAAUGAAAUUUUUCCUCAUUAUGACCAAAGAGGACGGGUGUACAUAUACGCACUAGUGGAAAUAUCGACUUAGCCGACAGAAACAAUUCGUCGCCUAAGACCGCAUAUCCGUCGAUUACAAUCUUGGCCGACGAAUUAUCCGUCGUCUAACUUCCGUCGCCUAGGUGUCGUGAGGUAGACACUUAAGCGACGGAAAUUAAGUUAGUCGUCGACUAAGACCGAUCCAACCCGACGGACCCUUACCUGCCUUGUCGACAAACGGAAUCGUCGAUAAAACUCUCUAUCGACGGAAAGUUUUUGUCGGAAAUGUUCUUAGCCGACGAAUAUGAAAUUCCUCUUAACCGACGAAACUGUCGUCGGUAUGUAUGUUUACCGACGAAUAUAUGAUCGUUCUUAAGCGACGAAAAAUUUGUCGGUAUAGUUUUUGCCUGACGAAUGUGUAACUGUUCUUAGUCGACGAUUGAUCUUUGUAUUCGUCGGACAAGUUGUUUAUCUUAAGCGACGAAUGUCACUAUUUUCGUCGCCUAGGUAUUUUAUCUUAGGAGACGAAUGUUACUGUUCCGUGGCUUCGGUUGUUUAUCUUGGGCGACGAAGAUUACUAUUUCCGUCGUCCAAGACAAAUAUCUUGGGCGACGAAGGUUUCUGGUUCCGUCGCCUAAGAGAUUUUAAUUAGGGUGAAAAAACACUGAAUUUUGUUAUUUAUUUUUCUUUUUUGGGUUUCACUGUUUCCAAAAAUUACAAAUCAGUAACAAUAAUGAAACACAUACAGAUAAAUAUAUACCGAAAGCACUGGAUUUGGACCAUUUUUCAUAUAUUGAUCACAGAUGGACAAAUAUUAUUCAUAUAUACAAAAUAAUUAAUGAAUUAACUAGGUAGAAAAUUGUUCAUACAAUGUAUCUAAACUAUGAAUCUUCUACAAAAUCAAUAAUUCUAAGGACAUCCGUUGUCCAAUUCUAUAUUAUCGCCUAGAUCAUCAUUGUUUUGUGGGGAAACAUGUGGAGGAGGAGAAGCAUCUGGAGGUGGAGGAGGUAACUGUGGAGGAGGUGGAGGUGGCAUACCUAGGUGCUCAUAUAAGGCUGUAACUUGGGACUGCACAACAUUAUACAUAGACUCAGCACGCAAGGCACGCUACUGAACCUCUUGGAAUUGAUGUUGGGCACACUGGUGGACCUCUGUUAACUGUUGCUGGGCACGAUCCUCUGCUUCCUUUAGUCUUUGCUCAUAGCGUUGCUGCAUCUCUUGGAGUUGCUGCUCAUCAACUCUAGGAGGACGACUACGUGAAGUGGAACCAUUUGAAAAAUGGCUCAAGUCUCGCUCGCCUCCUCAUCCCAUCCCUUUGAUCUUCUUUCCUUUGCGAGUUUUGAGCACCGUACCCAACACCUCAAUUUGUUGGGACUGAACACUUUCCAUAAUCUGCUCCUCCGUCGCGUCAGGGUGUUGUUCCUUAAAUGCAUCCUUUCGUUUAUUGACCUCAUCAACCAUGUCAUUCUGCAUGCAUUUAAAAUACAUCAAUAAAGUUUCCAUAAUAAAGUUUACUGGUUGCAUAAUAAACAAAGAAGCUACUGGGGGUCAGUAAACUUGUAAUUCAUUAUCUCCCUUUCAGUUUCAUGGCCACAACACACAACAAAUACCCUAAUAAACAACUUUAUUGCUCCUUAGUAAACCCAAUGGAAGUUUACUGCCUUUACUGCCCCCCAGUAAACUUCUACUGGGGGUCAGCAAACUUGCAAUUCAUUAUCUCCCUUUCAAUUUCAUGGCCACAACACACAACAUAUACCCUAAUAAAUAUAUUUAUUAAUUGCUCCGUAGUAAACAACUUUAUUGCUCCCAAAAACUAGACAUAUUAAUUAAUGACAGUGAUAAUAACACUUUUUUUUUUUUGAAAGAAGCAGGAAAACAUGACAUUGUAAUUGGACAGUGCCUAGAUUCAACUUAAUGGUCUCAUAUAUAUACCAAUAGCCGGAUUUACACAUGCUUGAAGCAUUUGCUAAGCUUACAUAAAGUAAAAGGAAAUACACUUACAUAUUUCUUGGUCGUAUCUUCAUCACCGGCCCUAACAUAGGUCUUCUCAAAACUUUUGAUAAUUGGAAGCUGCUCCCCUUAUAUUCUGAGUUCCUCCAUUGUAUAGAUGAUAGGAGAAGAUCCCGUGUGGUGAUGCAUAGUCUUCUCCCCACGGUUCCGCUUGUUUGCCAAAGAGAGUCUCUAAUAUAUACACGAAAAAAUGUUAAAUAGAUUAGUAAAAUAUAAGGGAAACAAUGAAUGUAAUUUAAAAAUAAAAAUAAAAAUAAAAAACAAUGAAAGUAAUUUAAAAAAUCACCUUGAACGCAUCUGACUCGAAGUGCUAGCAUAGAAAGUCCCACUGGUCCUCUCUCCCAAUGAAAUCUGAAGGCAUGCCAAAGGACCCCUCUUUCAGAUAAGCUUUGUGGCACUGGUACUUCUAGUCCUUGUACCUCUCAUGUGCUCUCAUUAGUAUCCAAUUGAACAUUGCCUCAUCAUUUUCAUCCCACUCGUACUUCGGCUAAGUAAGAAAUAAAUAAAAAAUUCCCAUGUUAAGCACUAAAAAAUAAAAAAAUAAAAUUAACACACCCAAUUAUUAUCACAAAACACAUCUUUCAAUUCAUAUCAGCACACAAUACUUUACACAUAUUCAAUCAUACUUUACACAUAUCCAUAACAUUUUCACUUUAUAAGAAAACUCCUUAUGCAAACAUAUCCUUAGACAUGAAAUUUUAUCAACAGAGAGAUGUCAAUUCAGUCAGUUCAUGCCUUCCAAUUACAUAAGCAAUCAUAUAUAUGUUAUCAAACAAAUGUAAUUAAGUAAAUUUACUUUUCAUAUACUUUUCAGUUACUUACCGACAUUGCAUUCCACACCUUCCACUUCUUAGUCUGAUCAAGGUCGUAGAACGUGCUUGCCCUCAUUCCCACCAGACUCCGUAUGGCGCAACCAAUAUCAUGUGCCACCAAGUUGUUUAUCCCCCUGACGCUAGGGCAAUACAUCAGCUUGAUCUUCUGCCCCGUUUGUUGAACGAUAUCCUCCGCCUUCUUUCCAGUUGAAAAACCCCGCCUCUUUUUCGGGGUCGGAGCUACAAUUAACAUGUGAAAAUACAUUAUGAUACUUAAUAUACAAGAGGAUAUCUGUUGUGUGUAAGUGGCAUGAAAAUCAAAGAGACAUAUUGUACUGCAAGUUUACUGACCCCCAUUAUAAGUUUACUGACCCCCAGUAUGCGUUUACUGACCCCCAGUGAAAAUAUAUUAUGAUACUUAAUAUACAAGAGGAUAUCUAUUGUGUGUAAAUGACAUGAAAAUGAAAGAGACAUAUUGUACUGCAAGUUUACUGACCCCUAUUAUAAGUUUACGGACCCCCAGUAGAAGUUUACUGACCCCCAGUAGAAGUUUAUACUGACCCCCAGUAGAAAAUUAAUACACUUACUUGUUUGGCUUCUAACUUUGAUUCGAGCGUUGCCGACGAUGAGUCUUGCAGAUUCGGGUGCGGCUGCAGUUUCGGGUGCGGUUGCAGUCUCAGGUGCGGUUACUGACACGACCCACCCCGAAUUUCACCCUGAAACCCAGAGUAAGUCAUGCGGGGACCACCUCCAAGGAAAAUUUACUGAAAAGAUUAAGAAAAUCUCCCUUGCAGAUGGACAACCCUAACUCGAAAAUUUCAUAUUACACUCUUAAUUUAACACUUCUGAACAUCACAUAAUAUACAAAAAUUCUAAAGUAUUCAGAGCUACUAAACACAAGCGGAAGCAAGAAAACACGAGUAGGUUGAACAGGUAACCUACUGGCGAAAACUGGCAGAAAUGCGGGUGACUAUGCCUCGUCUCCUACUAGAUCCAACACGAACUCUGCAGACUGGGCAAUUUAAAACGAAGGGCCCAAGGGAAAACAUUUAAUAACGUUAGAGUGAGUGGACAAAAAUAAAAUAAUAAAUAAAAUAUUUAUGUUUCCCCAAAUUAAUUUCUAAGGAAAAAUCGAAUGCAUGCCGCAAGCGAUAAAACUUUUAUUCCAUAAAAUAUCGAGCCUCUCAGACUCUAUAAUAUAUGUAUGUAUUUACACUCGUCCAUACUCCCUAUAUAAAUUCAUGGGUCUAUAUAGGGCUACUACGCUCGCGUCCAACGCUCACGUCACGCCUUAAUGCGGUGCUACACUACGCCAUCAAGGUGGACAGACGGGUGUAUAAAUA
rnacentral:lncRNA from 1 species